UACGUAGGGGGCGAGCGUUGUCCGGAUUUAUUGGGCGUAAAGAGCGUGUAGGCGGCCAGGUAGGUCUGCUGUGAAAACUCGAGGCUCAACCUCGAGACGUCGGCGGAAACCAUCUGGCUAGAGUCCGGAAGAGGAGAGUGGAAGUUCCUGGUGUAGCGGUGAAAUGCGCAGAUAUCAGGAAGAACACCCGUGGCGAAGGCGGCUCUCGUGGACGUACUGACGCUGAGACGCGAAAGCGUGGGGAGCGAACAGG
rnacentral:rRNA from 1 species